GACGUAGGGGGCCAGCGUUGUUCGGAAUUACUGGGUGUAAAGGGUUCGUAGGCGGUGUGGCAAGUUGGGAGUGAAAUCUCUGGGCUCAACCCAGAGGCUGCUUCCAAAACUGCUGUGCUUGAGUGUGAGAGAGGCCCGUGGAAUUGCAGGUGUAGCGGUGAAAUGCGUAGAUAUCUGCAGGAACACCCGUGGCGAAAGCGGCGAGCUGGAUCACUACUGACGCUGAGGAACGAAAGCUAGGGGAGCAAACAGG
rnacentral:rRNA from 1 species